rnacentral:rRNA from 1 species
CCUACGGGAGGCUGCAGUGAGGAAUAUUGGUCAAUGGGCGCGAGCCUGAACCAGCCAAGUAGCGUGAAGGAUGACUGCCCUACGGGUUGUAAAGUUCUGUCAAUAGGGACGAAUUUUGACUGUACCUAUAAAGGAAGCACCGGCUAACUCCGUGCCAGCAGCCGCGGUAAUACGGGGGGUGCAAGCGUUGUCCGGAAUCAUUGGGCGUAAAGCGUUCGUAGGCGGUAUGUCAAGUCUGAUGUUAAAGCCCGGGGCUCAACUCCGGUUCGGCAUUGGAUACUGGCAAACUAGAAUGUGGUAGAGGUAAAGGGAAUUCCUGGUGUAGCGGUGAAAUGCGUAGAUAUCAGGAGGAACAUCGGUGGCGAAAGCGCUUUACUGGACCAUUAUUGACGCUGAGGAACGAAAGCCAGGGGAGCAAAUGGGAUUAGAUACCCCAGUAGUC